UUUCGCAAUGCCCGAAAGGGUGACGAAGCGACGCCGCGUGAGCGAAGAAGGCCUUAGGGUUGUAAAGCUCUGUCAGGGGUUAUGAAAUGUAAAUGGGCUAAUACCUCAUUUAUUUGACAAAGGCCCCAAAGGAAGCCACGGCUAACUCUGUGCCAGCAGCCGCGGUAAUACAGAGGUGGCAAGCGUUGUUCGGUAUUAUUGGGCGUAAAGAGCACGUAGGUUGUUUUGUAAGUCAGGUGUGAAAGCCUUCUGUUCAAAGGAAGAACGGCAUCUGAAACUGCAAAUCUUGAGUGUAGGAGGGGAGAGUGGAACUUCUGGUGGAGCGGUGAAAUGCGUAGAUAUCAGAAGGAACGCCGGCGGCGAAAGCGAUUCUCUGGCCUAUUACUGACACUCAGUGUGCGAAAGCUAGGGGAGCAAACGGGAUUAGAUACCCCGGUAGUCCUAGCCGUAAACGAUGGGCACUAAGUAGAGGGGUUUU
rnacentral:rRNA from 1 species